rnacentral:misc_RNA from 1 species
AAGUCGUAACAAGGUUUCCGUAGGUGAACCUGCGGAAGGAUCAUUAUCGUUGGGCUUCGGCCCAUUCGAGAUAAUACCCUUGCCUUUUUGAGUACCUUUUCGUUUCCUCGGCUGGCUCGCCUGCCAACGGGGACCCUUUAAAACGCUUUGUAAUACCUGUAACUGUCUGAUAUAACAAGCAAAAAUCAAAACUUUCAACAACGGAUCUCUUGGUUCUG